rnacentral:rRNA from 1 species
GACGAACGCUGGCGGCGUGCUUAACACAUGCAAGUCGAACGGAAAGGCCCUGCUUUUGUGGGGUGCUCGAGUGGCGAACGGGUGAGUAACACGUGAGUAACCUGCCCUUGACUUUGGGAUAACUUCAGGAAACUGGGGCUAAUACCGGAUAGGAGCUCCUGCUGCAUGGUGGUGGUUGGAAAGUUUCGGCGGUUGGGGAUGGACUCGCGGCUUAUCAGCUUGUUGGUGGGGUAGUGGCUUACCAAGGCUUUGACGGGUAGCCGGCCUGAGAGGGUGACCGGCGACAUUGGGACUGCGAGACGGACCAGAAUGCAACGGGAGGCAGCAGUGGGGAAUAUUGCACAAUGGGCGGAAGCCUGAUGCAGAAACGCCGCGUGCGGGAUGACGGGCUACGGGUGGUAAACCGCUUUCGAAGGUGACGAAGAGUGAGUGACGGUAAUGGGUAAAGAAGCACCGGCUAACUACGUG